rnacentral:rRNA from 1 species
AGAGUUUGAUCCUGGCUCAGAAUGAACGCUGGCGGCGUGCUUAACACAUGCAAGUCGAACGAGGCUGAGGGGGCAACUCCCUGAGUCGAGCGGCGGACGGGUGAGUAACACGUGGGUAACCUACCCGGAAGUGGGGAACUCGAGGACGAAAGUCCUUGUGAUCAAAGCGGGGCCGCAAGGCCUCGUGCUACCGGAUGGGCCCGCGCCCGAUUAGCUAGUUGGCGAGGUAAUGGCUCACCAAGGCGACGAUCGGUAACCGGCCUGAGAGGGCGAUCGGUCACACCGGAACUGAGACACGGUCCGGACUCCUACGGGAGGCAGCAGUGGGGAAUUUUGCGCAAUGGGCUAACGCCUGACGCAGCAACGCCGCGUGGAGGAUGAAGGUCUUUGGAUUGUAAACUCCUGUCAGCAGGGAAAAAGCGACCUGACCUCAUACGUCAGGGGGCUAGCGUUAUUCGGAAUUAUUGGGCGUAAAGGGCGCGUAGGCGGCCAUGCGUGUCUUCCGUGAAAUCCCUCGGCUCAACCGAGGACGUGCGGAAGAAACUGCAAGGCUCGAGUCCGGAAGAGGGGGGCGGAAUUCCCAGUGUAGCGGUGAAAUGCGUAGAUAUUGGGAGGAACACCAGUGGCGAAGGCGGCUCACUGGACCGGUACUGACGCUGAGGCGCGAAAGCGUGGGGAGCAAACAGGAUUAGAUACCCUGGUAGUCCACGCCGUAAACGAUGAGUGCUUGGUGUAGCGGGUAUCGACCCCUGCUGUGCCGAAGUCAACACAUUAAGCACUCCGCCUGGGGAGUACGGUCGCAAGACUGAAACUCAAAGGAAUUGACGGGGGCCCGCACAAGCGGUGGAGCAUGUGGUUUAAUUCGACGCAACGCGAAGA